rnacentral:rRNA from 1 species
AGAGUUUGAUCAUGGCUCAAACGAACGCUGGCGGCGUGGAUAAGAAUGCAGCUGUACGGGAAUAUGAAUAGCUUGCUAAUUGUAUUCUUAGUGGCGGGCGGGUGCGUAACACGUGAGCAACCUGCUCUGAAGUGGGGGAUAGCCUUUCGAAAGGAAGAUUAAUACCGCAUGUGGUCUCCGGACCAAAGAUGGCUUCGGCUGUCGCUUCAGAAUGGGCUCGCGGCCUAUCAGCUUGUUGGUGAGGUAACGGCUCACCAAGGCGACGACGGGUAGCUGGUCUGAGAGGACGAUCAGCCACACUGGAACUGAGACACGGUCCAGACACCUACGGGUGGCAG